rnacentral:rRNA from 1 species
GACGAACGCUGGCGGCGUGCUUAACACAUGCAAGUCGAACGGGCCCGCUCUCUUUUUUGGGGGUGGGUUGAGUGGCGAACGGGUGAGUAUCACGUGAGUAACCUGCCCCCUGCUCCUGGAUAACUGCUUGAAAGGGCGGCUAAUACGGGGUGUGCCGGCUGGUCCGCAUGGGCCUGGUCGGGAUAGUUUCAUCUUCGGGUGUUUCGGUGGGGGAUGGGCUCGCGGCCUAUCAGCUUGUUGGUGGGGUGAUGGCCCACCAAGGCGGUGACGGGUCGCCGGCCUGAGGGGGUGGGCGGCCGAACGGGGACGGGGACACGGCCCGGACUCCUGCGGGAGGCAGCAGUGGGGGGUAUUGCACAAUGGGCGGAAGCCUGAUGCAGCGACGUCGCGUGAGGGAUGGAGGCCUUCGGGUUGUGAACCUCUUUCUCCGGUGGUGAAGGCCCUGUCCGUUGCGGCGGGGUUGACGGUAGCCGGGUAUGAAGCGCCGGCUAACUACGUG